rnacentral:lncRNA from 1 species
UUAAUUAAGCGAGGGCCAUGAAUUUUAGGAUUUUAUUUGGUAUGGCACACCUCAAAUUGUUCUAUCAAAGUUUCUAACUUAGCUUUCGAGGGCCAUAAAUUAUGACUCGUCUAACAUGGCUCGCCUCAAAUUACUAAAAGACAUUUCCAAUCUGUUUCUUAAAUCCAAAUCUUGUAACCCAAUAUUGUUUGCUCUUUUGAUCCAAACCCCACAACAUUUCAAAUAAUAGGUUUUUCUUUUUAAUAAAAUAAAUUAAAGACCAUUUCAACAGAUUUCACUCCAGUAAUGUCACCAAAGACCCAAACUACAUUUCACUCGAGAACUAAUUUCUUCAGCAUACUUAGAGGGCCAUAAACUAUUUGAUUUCGAAUGGCACACCUCAUCUAACUAAAGAUCUAAUCAAUUAAUUAAGGGAAGCUUAUGGGAACUCUAAUUACAUUGAACUAAAAGUUCGACCACACUAAUUAAUUGAAGCUCGCCGCGUUAGUUGACGAAAUAAUUGAACGGGCCCCUUUGAAAGAUGCCUUUAAACUCCGACUCGAAAUGAUCCCAGUUAAUGAUGAGGAAAGGUGCCCAAGUUUGAUUUUCCUUUAGAUGGGCCUGCAUUAGGCCCAGUUCUCAUACUCUGAAUUAUUCAUGCCACUCAAAUAAUGCCAAUUAACUAAUGCUAACAUGGACACGGAAACGAAUUAAACAGACUCCCAUUCUGAUUUUAGAUAGUAAUACAACUUAACUAAGCUAAACUUUUAAUUCCACCUUUCAUGCAUUUUUGGGUCAAUCUUUCCAUAACGAUGCAUCAACAAUAAACAGACUGGUUAUUUAGCUUAAGGAGAAGCCCCCAACUGCAAACAAAGGCAAAUACCAAAACCAUUUGAACCCCAGAUGAUGGGAUCAUGUUUCUAGCUAUGAGCAAGCAAACCAUUACUUGACAUUCUUAACACAUUUAGAGAUGAAUUAAUGCUAAAAUAGCACUGGUCGUAGCAGAAACUGAACAAAUACCCCCCAAACCUACAAACAUCACACGAGUUCGUUACAAUAGCCUUACAACCCAUUUAUACAAACACAGAACUUGAGCUCAUCUAUCCUAAUUGGUUAAAACUCAGAAUUUCCUCCAAAGCUACAAACAAACUCAAAAUGAACCAGGAAGAGACAUAUGUGAUAAGAGACCAAGCUAAUUAUGAAAUCUGAUUGAUUUUUAGAAGUAAAAGAAACUACAUUUACAAGCUAGUAUGACAUAGUUUGCCACUUAAUCAAAUAAAACUCUUGUUCUUCCAUUUUACAUGUCCGAGAAUGGGAGAUACCUGGUAAAUCAAAGCAAACAACAGGGAGAAGAUCAGCAGCAGAGUGGGGUGAGAUUCAGCAGAUUAACAACAACAAUUCUAGCUUGCUCAAACCAUUUCAAUCCCAGAAAGAGUCAAAAUCACUUCAAAUUUUAAGAAACCCAAAGAAACACACCCAGCCUCAAUGUUUUUCUCAAAGAGUCAAAUUUUUAGUGUUUUAAUUUUUCUCAAUGAAACAGUGCCUCAAUGAAACAAUGAGAAAUAUUCAGUGUUUUAUCUAGCCGUCUCUAGUUUUCCAAGUCUGAUCCCCUUUAAAAAUUCAGUAAAUGGGGGCUUUUAUACAGGGGUGUUAGGGCAACAAUAAAGAUUUCAGAAUUUGCUCUUCAAUCCUUUUCCAAUUUAUGUUUUUGUUGUUGUGCCCUUAAUUUAAAGAUCAUACCUUCACAUAAGCCCCCAACCCAGCUUCUAGGAAGCUUCCUUGGGCAGUUACAUCAGAUUCACCUACUUAAAAAAACCUGAAUUACCCUUUAAGCCUAGGUUAUUUACCCUCAAAACCAGCCUGGGUCAAGUUUACCCAAAACCCAAACCCUGGGCCUGCCAUUCGGACUGACCCUUCUUCUUUAGGCCUUUGAUUUAACCCAGACCCAACAGAAAAAUUCGAUAAUAGGGCAGCCAGAAUUAUAUGAACACUCGAAACUUAACAUUUCAAUUAAACGGCAAUAUGAGGGUUCUAAAAACAAAAUGAAAACAAGACAAACACUAAGACAAACACUGACUGAAAGAAGAAGAAAAAAAUAAACUAAAAUUAACGGGCAUGAUAUGCAAGAGUAGCAAAAUUAGAGAAAGGAAAGAAACAGACGAAGCUUGAAAGGAAAUUACAAAUAAAAAAAACAAAAGACCUGAAAUACCUGAAGGGACGAAUGGACGAUGGGUUCGCACAGAUUAUUUAGCUGUUUCAAUUUGAACCCAAAACGAGUGUUAUUCAGGUUGUUCUUGUGAGAACAGCCCGCCUAACACAUGUUUUAAGUCAAAAAUCCUUCAAGCUUGGAGAAUAAUCAAACCAGACCUUUAAAGGACGAGACAGAGGUGAGGAAGGAAUUAGGAUUCCGGGUUUUGAUUCAAGAUUUGAAGAGAUUGAGAUGGAUUCGAGGAGAGCCGUGUUGAGAUUUAGAGAGAGGAGAGUGAGAGGGUUCAAGGGUGUGGUUUUGAAGCCGGUUUGAGGGGGCUCCACCGGUGAGUAGACAGGGCAGUGGAUUAGGUCUUUGAGAUGGAGAAGAUGAAUUGGUUUGUCUCUGAGGUGUUUCAGAUAGUG